rnacentral:tRNA from 1 species
GUGGAGCAGUCCGGUAGCUCGUCAGGCUCAUAACCUGAAGGUCGUUGGUUCAAAUCCAACC